AUUUUUAAAUGCACAAUAUAUAGUGAAAUUGCACUAUUUGUAUGUCUUACAACAUUUAUAGACUAUAAAAAUAUUCAGUCUCUGUAUAUGCAGGGUUUUACUUGCCUCUGUGGUAGAUGUAUCAGGAAGUAAUGUGUUCUCGAGGUCAAUUCCCUUUAACCUAGCUGAGCAUUAGCAACAGGGUGCCAGAAAUGUGUGUGAAAUUCCUGCGCGCUACAUGGAACAGCUGCAGAGUUGUGUUUUUCCUCCACUGUCAAUGUUGUGUCCCUGCUCAAGCUCUCUCUACCACUGGCUCCACUGGCCUGUGUCUGGGAGCUCCGGUGGGGAGUUCAGAUGGGGUUUCUGGAGCAGAUUCCAUUUGACUUCAAAGCAAUGCUGUCAGAGCAUGACCAAUGCUGUCCUGCACCACAUCCCUGUAUCCCAUUCUCUCCUCCACGCAGGCUGUUUCAGUCAAGAGCUGUCUGCACUUCAGCCGUUCAGGACCCAUCCAUCUCCUCCGGACAGCCCGCAGAAUCGAGCACACCCCGUGCCUCUGCGUUUUGCUACCUAUGAAUUUUUCAAGCCGUGCGCACACACAAACACACAUGCAAGCACGCACACGUGUACAAACACGCACGCACACAGCCACACACAACUAUUUCUUGAACAGUUUUUUCAGUUCAAAUUCCAAUGGUAGUUUCCCAACCUCCAACACCAGAUGGCACUGUGUACACAAACAUUACUACAGCCAGGAAGGAGCAACACGCUAUUCGGUAGUUUACGAAAAGGAUGUAGUACACACUGAGAUAAUUCACUUCAUGUACUGAACACAUGUAUUUGUUUUGCUCAAGAUUUUCUA